CCUACGGGUGGCUGCAGUGGGGAAUAUUGGGCAAUGGAGGAAACUCUGACCCAGCAACGCCGCGUGAAUGAUGAAGGUCUUCGGAUUGUAAAGUUCUUUUCUAAGGGAAGCAGAAAGUGACGGUACCUUAGGAAUAAGCCUCGGCUAACUACGUGCCAGCAGCAGCGGUAAUACGGGGGAGGCAAGCGUUAUCCGGAAUGACUGGGCGUAAAGGGUGCGUAGGUGGGUUGACAAGUUGGUAGGGUAACCCCGAGGCUUAACCUCCGCACUACUGCCAAAACUGGUGGACUCGAGUGCAGGAGGGGCAAGUGGAAUGCCUGGUGUAGCGGUGGAAUGCGUAGAUAUUAGGAAGAACACCAGUGGCGAAGGCGGUUUGCUGGACUGUAACUGACGCUGAGGCACGAAAGCGUGGGGAGCAAACAGGAUUAGAUACCCUUGUAGUC
rnacentral:rRNA from 1 species